rnacentral:rRNA from 1 species
CACAUAGAGAGGACACCGUAAUAGCACCACCAGAACUUUAACCGGGGCAGUUCGAAUAUGUGUACCAAGAGCAACUACUCACUACGGGUAUCCUAUCGAGGUAGUCUCUUUUGUGGAGGUGUGUGGGGAGACGUCGGUACUUGUUUGUGUUACCUAACACACGUAGAAGAUUUCUUUGUCCCUUCCCUUCGCAACAGACAUCUAGUGAAAAGGGAACUUUUUUUAUCUUUCUCUGCUCCAUUUAUAUAUCAAAGGAAGUACUCUACGAAACAAGUUAAAUUCCGUUAUAGUAAGUAUAGUCUGGGAUACAAAUUUAACAAUAAGUCGAAUGGUAGCUACAAUGUUAACUUACCUCCCCUUGGGGAAACGACACAACGAGAUGUUUUUUUGUGGAGUUUCAAAGUGUGGAAAACCUAGGAUGGAAAAACAUGGAAGAGUUCUGGACAAUAAGUCGAGUACACGUAUAAUACUGGGCACAGUAGACAGUCACAAAGAUUUACCAGUCACAAAGAUAUACUACGGUCGCAAAUAAAUACUGACUUAAAGAAUAAUUCACCGGUCGUUGUACUAAAUAUUAAUUAAUUAAUACUGGAGGUUACGCGGUUUUGUAGAUAUAAGGGUCAGGUAAAAGUACAGACUACCAUACUUCAAGCCGCCCGUGGCGCGCCGUUCGAUGCGGGGGACUACGUGAUGACUCACGAAGGAGACAUACAUCUUUACUGGUCCAGAUUAAUAAUACUUAGGAUACAUGUAUACUAGUUCAUAGAUAGGAAUACACAUGUAUUGGAUCUAAUAACGAAGGACAAUGAUGUAGUAACUGUACUUUACGAAGAUUGGGAAACAAGUCGCCGGGUAGUCUUAACUGUCGGUAGUACCGAUAGAUUUAUAAGAAGACCGUAGAGUAUCCACAGUACGAUACAACAUAAAACGAAACAAUCGCCCAACCCAUACCGGACUCUUCCAUAAGAUAAAGAUAGCCCACGUUUUAUCUUAGUACACACUAUUACCUCUCUUCCUACGACGAGAAGAGAGCUUCUGGUGUACUAAGGACGGAAAAUCACUAACUAAAACGACUGAGUCUUGCUACUAAACAAACGAAAUAUCAUAGGUAGAGGAAACGUUAAAUAAAAAGGAAGCUAAUUAUAGAUUUACAUUAAAACUGGGCUUCAAGAAAUAAGUUAUGUACAUAUUAUUAAAAACGAGUUUUUUUUAUGUACGCAUUACACAUCGAAAAGAUAGUUAACCUUCACUCGAAGCAACUGGACCAUCUAAAAUUUAAUCUGAUCGGCGUGGACACAUAAAGAUAGUCGAAAAUGAUAGACAAGAAGUUACCUAGUCAACGUAGUCUGACAUCCAUGACGACUGGCAUUUCGAUAUUUAGGUCGAGACGUACGAAAACAGGCACGUUGAUUCUAGUUAAAAGGCUAAGUAAAUAACACUUUAGAAUAAGAUGUUCUCCGUUUUCCAGUAAAGAUAAACAAGAAUUAGAAUUAUACAUAAGGACGGAGGCUAUGGGAGUGUUUAAAUUACCUAAGAGGACAAUAAUAAAAGAAUAUCAAAAUAGACCUCGUAACCGUAGAGAUCGGCUCGGCGCGUUCGUCUUUCGCCUCGUCCUCGUCGAGCCCCUCCUUCGGUUCCAGAUUUUACGGCUUAGAGGGUUAUUUCACCAUGAUAUAUGGCAAGUGAGACGUAGAAGAUGGAGUUGGUCUUAUAUCGAUGAUUUGUGUAGGUAGAAGAUGACUUAGUACGUGACAUGAACGUGAUUGAUACAACUACAAACAAAAAGGCACCCUUCGUUUUAAGUAAAUACAAUUUAAUUACGUUCCAUUGGUCUGGGUGGAAACGUAUAUAUAAAAUCAACUUUCUCUUAACUUGGUAUAUACGAUCCACGGUUAUUUCAAUAGAUAACCAAGGAAGACAACGAAAUAAGUCGAAGAUAACCAACACAAAGAGUGCUUUUGAUUGAAUACAACUCAAAGAUAACCAAC